rnacentral:rRNA from 1 species
UACGAAGGGGGCUAGCGUUGUUCGGAUUUACUGGGCGUAAAGCGCACGUAGGCGGACUAUUAAGUCAGGGGUGAAAUCCCGGGGCUCAACCCCGGAACUGCCUUUGAUACUGGUAGUCUUGAGUUCGAGAGAGGUGAGUGGAAUUCCGAGUGUAGAGGUGAAAUUCGUAGAUAUUCGGAAGAACACCAGUGGCGAAGGCGGCUCACUGGACCGGCAUUGACGCUGAGGUGCGAAAGCGUGGGGAGCAAACAGG